ACGUCAUACCACAUUGAAAACACCGGUUCUCGUCCGAUCACCGAAGUUAAGCAAUGUCGGGCCCGGUCAGUACUUGGGAGGGUGACCACCUGGGAACACCGGGUGCUGUAGGCU
rnacentral:rRNA from 1 species